UACGGAAGGCAGCAGUGGGGAAUAUUGCACAAUGGGCGAAAGCCUGAUGCAGCUAUGCCGCGUGUAUGAAGAAGGCUUUAGGGUUGUAAAGUACUUUCAUCGGGGAGGAAAAAACAAAACUAAUAAUUUUAUUUCUUGACGUUACCCGAAAAAGAAGCACCGGCUAACUCCGUGCCAGCAGCCGCGGUAAUACGGAGGGUGCUAGCGUUAAUCAGAAUUACUGGGCGUAAAGAGCACGUAGGUGGUUUUUUUAAGUCAGAUGUGAAAUCCCUGGGCUUAACCUAGGAACUGCAUUUUGAAACUGAAAUACUAGAGUAUCGUAGAGGGAGGUAGAAUUCUAGGUGUAGCGGUGAAAUGCGUAGAUAUCUGGAGGAAUACCUGUGGCGAAAGCGGCCUCCUAAACGAAUACUGACACUGAGGUGCGAAAGCGUGGGGAGCAAACAGGGAUUAGAUACC
rnacentral:rRNA from 1 species